GCUACCAAAUCCGGACAGACCCGACCUCUCCCUCCUCCUUUCUUCUCCUUUUCGCCGUUUCUGGUUUUCCGGCGAUUUCGUCGCCGUCCGGCCACCCCAGGACGAACCGUUUGGCAUGGCGUGAUCCUCUCCUCCUUCUCUACCUAGUCAUCUUGUUUUGAUCGGUGGAGGAAGAUUUGAAGGUGUUUGAGGGUGUGAACAGUAACGUGAACAGUAACUGUCAAGUUCUUGGUUUUUGUUUGAUCUUUCCGGCCACUUCUGCUUUAAUUUGGUUGUUGUUGCAGGAUGUACUGAGCCCUCAAGCGUGGAGGACACGGGCAGGCAGCAGGAUUAGCUGCGAGAUUCACCUGUGAUGGACUUUCAUUUUAUUUAAAUAAUGCAUGCAACACAGUAUUAAAUUUAUAAUGGAUUAUUAUUUGAGUAAAUGUGGUUUUUGUGAAAAGAAAAGAAUUUAAGUAUUUGAGUAAAUGUGGUUUUUGUGAAAAGAAAAGAAUUUAAAAGGAGUUGGUAAGGAGACUAGUUUCGGCGCAUGUGUACAUUACCUAGUCGGCAGUCCCCUCUAGGUAAUAGUUUGGUCGGCAGUCCCCUCCGGUUAGUCAUAUGGUCGGCAGUCCCCUCCAGAUGAUAUGAGGUAGUUAGUCGGCAGUCCCCUCUAACCACCGCCUCCUAAAUCCGGUCGGCAGUCCCCUCCGAUGCGUCAUCUGGGCGGCAGUCCCCUCCAGAUGGCAUGAGAUGACUAGACAGCAGUCCUCUCUAGUCAUCGAACGAUGUUUCUUGAAAGGAUGGUUUUCAAAGGAAUGAGUUGGAAUUGUUUUAUAAAUCUCGCUGCAUGUCGGUUUUUGUUAACGAGAAAAUGGGAAAGCAUUCAAGCAUUGAGUUCAUAAUUUAUUUUAGUUUCGUCCACUCACUCUAAUGGAUUUUAAAUGUUUUCCCCUGGGCCCUUCGUUUUUCAAAUGCCCAGAUUUCAGAUUUGCCGAGAUCGCGUCCAAGAACUUGAGGCAUAGGAAUCAGCGCUUCUGGUUUGUCUGUAGGUUAUUACUUAACCUACCUUGUAUGAUAUCGGCUUAGUUGUGUAUAUCUGCUCUGAUAACCAGUUUACUUUGGAGAAUGUUAAUGUUUGAGAAUCUAUUAUCGUAGUGAAGUUAAGGUGACACUUGUGCUAUCGGAAUGUAACUUAUUCACUUGGAAUGUAAAUAUUGUGAGUUUAGUUUUAAGCAUGUCCAGGUUUUGUAAACUUUUGGGUAGCCCAUUUUAGGGGAGGUUCUGUCGAUUUUUCGGUAGGAUUUCACUUAAAGUGGGUCCCACAGACUCGUAUCCGGGUUUCAGUUUGAAACUUGGGUCGGGUUCUGUCAGUUGGUAUCAGAGCACUAGGUUAUUAGAUUCUAUGGCCGAUAUCUUGUUAUAGACUCUUAUAUACUUGAUUGUAUUCAGUACCUCCCGAGUGAUGGCCCGACUGCAGCGGACUCUUCGGUGCUGAUGUACAUAUCAAGUGUGUAAGAUGAUUGUUGUUGGUGAAAAUACCUUUGGUGUACAUAUUCAAAAAGUUUUUCCGCUUCUUCACUCACCACCGGCAACUCCACCCCAAACUCCUGCUCCACUCACCAUCAAGCAUUAUCAUCACGCUCCACUGCCCACACCAGUCCACCCCAACUUAAUAUGGAUUGUGAAAAUACUAUCAUAGCAAUGAGUGAGACUGGAUCUAUCAAGAUUGUUCUCUAAUCGUUUUUUUCCAGGUUUCAUACUUCGUCCAGGUUUUUGGCCUGAUUUGAUGUGAAUUCGGAGGUUCUGCAUAUUGAAGAAGUUAGCAAAACAAAGAAAAGAGUUCGGGUUUGGUUGCUCUGAACUAUAUGGAGCUUGGAAGAAAUUCCAGCAACUACAGUCAAGGUAUGGCAGUGGCAAGAGUAGGGGUUAAGCCACAGACGAAGAACGUUGUGGCAGAUGGGAGAAACCGAAAACCACUGGGUGAGAUUGGUAACUAGCAACUUGUUCGAGGAAUUGAGAUCAAGCCGAAUCGCCCUAUAACAAGGUUAUGGAGAGCACCUGUGGAUUCCAUUACUCCUAGAAUGGUAGACAUGCUCAGUGAAUAAGCUAAAGUAAACAAAGCAGGCCCUGAGCCUUUGUUCUCUGUUAAUUAUAUGCAGCAUCUCUGCAAGGAAAAUUUCUGUUCUAGGACACUUUAGGAUGCUGAAAAGGGAUCACUAUCACAUUUGCUUUAGUUAUAGGCAUGGUUAAUGUGCAAUGGACACGUUUAUAUUUUUUGGGUUUAUGUAUUUAUAGGCACCU